rnacentral:rRNA from 1 species
AGAGUUUGAUCCUGGCUCAGGACGAACGCUGGCGGCGUGCUUAACACAUGCAAGUCGAACGGGCUUAUUUUGGGAGUAAUCCCGGGGUAAGCUAGUGGCGGACGGGUGCGUAACGCGCGAGCAAUCUGUCCUCAAGAGGGGGAUAACAACUGGAAACAGUUGCUAAUACCGCACGAGACCACAAGUUCACAUGGACAAGGGGUUAAAGGAGAAAUCCGCUUGAGGGUGAGCUCGCGUCCCAUUAGAUAGUUGGUGAGGUAACGGUCCACCAAGUCGACGAUGGGUAGCCGAUCUGAGAGGAUGACCGGCCACAUUGGAACUGAGAAACGGUCCAGACUCCUACGGGAGGCAGCAGUGGGAAUAUUGGGCAAUGGGCGCAAGCCUGACCCAGCAACGCCGCGUGAGGGAAGAAGGUUUUCGGAUCGUAAACCUCUGCUGCAGGGGACGAGCAGUAGACGGUACCCUGCGAGGAAGCUCCGGCUAACUACGUGCCAGCAGCCGCGGUAAUACGUAGGGAGCAAGCGUUGUCCGGAAUGACUGGGCGUAAAGGGCGCGUAGGUGGUUUUGUAAGUCUGGAGUGAAACCCCCGUUUUCAAGGCGGGGCCUGCUUUGGAGACUGCAGGACUUGAGUGAUGGAGAGGAUAGCGGAAUUCCCGGUGUAGCGGUGAAAUGCGUAGAGAUCGGGAGGAACACCAGUGGCGAAGGCGGCUAUCUGGACAUAGACUGACACUGAGGCGCGAAAGCGUGGGGAGCAAACAGGAUUAGAUACCCUGGUAGUCCACGCUGUAAACGAUGGAUGCUAGGUGUAGGAGGUAUCGACCCCUUCUGUGCCGGAGUAAACACAAUAAGCAUCCCGCCUGGGGAGUACGGCCGCAAGGUUGAAACCCAAAGGAAUUGACGGGGGCCCGCACAAGCAGCGGAGCAUGUGGUUUAUUCGACGCAACGCGAAGAACCUUACCAGGUCUUGACAUCCAGUUAAAGCAUAUGAAAGUAUGUGUCUCUUCGGAGGAACUGAGACAGGUGGUGCAUGGUUGUCGUCAGCUCGUGUCGUGAGAUGUUGGGUUAAGUCCCGCAACGAGCGCAACCCUUGCGAUUGGUUGCUAACAGGUAAAGCUGAGAACUCCAAUAGGACUGCCGGGGACAACUCGGAGGAAGGUGGGGACGACGUCAAAUCAUCAUGCCCCUUAUGACCUGGGCUACACACGUGCUACAAUGGCCACUACAAAGAGGAGCGAAUCCGUAAGGAGGAGCAGAUCUGAGAAAAGUGGUCCCAGUUCAGAUUGUGGGCUGCAACCCGCCCACAUGAAGUCGGAGUUGCUAGUAAUCGCGGAUCAGCAUGCCGCGGUGAAUACGUUCCCGGGCCUUGUACACACCGCCCGUCACACCAUGGGAGUUGGGAGCACCCGAAGCCUGCGAGCUAACGCAAGAGGCAACAGUCGAAGGUGAGACCAAUGACUGGGGUGAAGUCGUAACAAGGUAGCCGUAUCGGAGGUGCGGCUG